rnacentral:rRNA from 1 species
GUCUAUGGCUAUGCCACCCUGAACAAGCCCACUGUCUGAUCUCGGAAGCUAAGCAGGGUUGGACCUGGUUAGUACUUGGAUGGGAGACCACCUAGGAAGACCAGGUGCUGUAGGCC